AUUGAACGCUGGCGGCAUGCCUAACACAUGCAAGUCGAACGGCAGCACAAUAAAGAUUUCGGUCUUUAUGGGUGGCGAGUGGCGGACGGGUGAGUAACGCGUAGGAAUCUGUCCUGGAGAGUGGGAUAACCCGAGGAAACUCGGGCUAAUACUGCAUGACAUUGAGAGAUCAAAAGCAGGGGGCCGAAAGGCCUUGCGCUCUGGGGUGAGCCUAGGUCGGAUUGGGUAGUUGGUGGGGUAAAGGCCUACCAAGGCGACGAUCCGUAGCUGGUCUGAGAGGAUGACCAGCCACACUGGGACUGAGACACGGCCCAGACUCCUACGGGAGGCAGCAGUGGGGAAUCUUGGACAAUGGGGGAAACCCUGAUCCAGCGAUGCCGCGUGUGUGAAGAAGGCCUUCGGGUUGUAAAGCACUUUAGGUGGGGAAGAAAGGUAGCGAGUGAAUAACUUUCUGCUGUGACGGUACCCACAGAAUAAGCACCGGCUAACUCUGUGCCAGCCGCCGCAGUAA
rnacentral:rRNA from 1 species